GGUCACUGUGAAGAUGGGGUCACCUUGCUGAGUGCUGACCUCCAAUGUACCAGGAAGGGGUGAGACAGCAUCUUCUGGUCUCUCUGCAUGGACACCCCUGCUCAGAGUGGGAACCUACAUUAAAUAUCAGACAGUAAUGAUAACAUAAAGCAGCCGUUGGAAAAGGGUGAAGAGCUAGAAACGUCAGAGGACAUAAAAACUAAAUCGUCACUGAAGUCAUCGUCACCACUCUGCCUACUUCCUCAGUGCAUGAGCAGUAGACAGUCACAGCCACUCAGUUGCCAAAUGGUGUCAACACGCUCACACAGAAGUCUAAGAAACAGCAACGCCGUGGCUACUGAGCUCUGAACUCACGAGAGACAUCAGGAACAUGCUACAAGGAAACCAUAUGACCAUCACACAAAGCCACGAGGGGCAAACCAUAUCUCACCCGUAGCACCUUCUCAGGACACCACAGCUCAGGACACCACAGGAAUUGGAAGGGUGAAGCUACCUCCCCAUCCUGUACUCUGUGGUCUGCUGUGUUUUCCUGCACGGGCUCUCAGAGGUGUGUCUUCAAAUUUUCCCUUCACCUGAAGUGAUCUUGUCCACCCAUCAUGGGUAGGGGCAACUUCUGGACUUCUAGGAUGGCUCAAUCUUUUGGGAAAGACUUGGAUAAACUGCUCAUGAAA
rnacentral:lncRNA from 1 species